rnacentral:rRNA from 1 species
AUUGAACGCUGGCGGCAUGCCUUACACAUGCAAGUCGAACGGUAACGGGUCCUUCGGGAUGCCGACGAGUGGCGAACGGGUGAGUAAUAUAUCGGAACGUGCCCAGUAGUGGGGGAUAACUGCUCGAAAGAGCAGCUAAUACCGCAUACGACCUGAGGGUGAAAGGGGGGGAUCGCAAGACCUCUCGCUAUUGGAGCGGCCGAUAUCAGAUUAGCUAGUUGGUGGGGUAAAGGCCUACCAAGGCAACGAUCUGUAGUUGGUCUGAGAGGACGACCAGCCACACUGGGACUGCGACACGGCCCAGACUCCUACGGGAGGCAGCAGUGGGGAAUUUUGGACAAUGGGCGCAAGCCUGAUCCAGCAAUGCCGCGUGCAGGAAGAAGGCCUCCGGGUUGUAAACUGCUUUUGUCAGGGAAGAAAUCUUCUGGGCUAAUACCCCGGGAGGAUGACGGUACCUGAAGAGUAAGCACCGGCUAACUACGUGCCAGCCGCCGCAGUAA